AAUUAUUAUUAUUAUUUUUUUUUUUAAGUCCACAGAGUACUAGAGAACAGUCUUCUGUCUUUAUGUUUUCAGUGUACAAGUUGCUGAGUGUUGAGUGGAGUGAAACUGUGUGUGUUUCUUUGAGCCGUGGAUCCAACCAGUCCCACUGAGUUUAAGAAGAUUUCUCUCUCUGGGGUGGCACGUCUUAGACUCUUCGGUCUUCAACUUAUCAGGAAUUGCUAUUUCUAGAGGAAUAAAUUCAUUUCAGACAGCACUGAUAAUGAUGUCCCACACUGGUUAUUGGCUUGCGCAACUUUCCUGAAAUUAAACAAUGCUUUUCUUCUGUAAGUUAUUUGUGUCUUUCAAGUUUUUUUUUCUAAAAUGGUUCAGCACCACAGUGAA
rnacentral:lncRNA from 1 species